GACGAACGCUGGCGGCGUGCCUAAUACAUGCAAGUCGAGCGAAGUUUUUCUGGUGCUUGCACUAGAAAAACUUAGCGGCGAACGGGUGAGUAACACGUAAAGAACCUGCCUCAUAGACUGGGACAACUAUUGGAAACGAUAGCUAAUACCGGAUAACAGCAUUAACUGCAUGGUUGAUGUUUAAAAGUUGGUUUUGCUAACACUAUGAGAUGGCUUUGCGGUGCAUUAGCUAGUUGAUGGGGUAAAGGCCUACCAAGGCGACGAUGCAUAGCCGACCUGAGAGGGUGAUCGGCCACACUGGGACUGAGACACGGCCCAGACUCCUACGGGAGGCAGCAGUAGGGAAUCUUCCGCAAUGGGCGAAAGCCUGACGGAGCAACGCCGCGUGAGUGAAGAAGGAUUUCGGUUCGUAAAGCUCUGUUGUUAGGGAAGAAUGAUUGUGUAGUAACUAUACACAGUAGAGACGGUACCUAACCAGAAAGCCACGGCUAACUACGUG
rnacentral:rRNA from 1 species